rnacentral:rRNA from 1 species
AUGUUUAGGACCUUUUUUGAGAAUGUGAGGAUAAAGAUUGCAUGCAGAGACCCAGCUAAAAUUCCUUUUGAAAGGUUGAUUGAGAUGAAAAAGAAAUUGUUCCUCCUUGGGUUUACUGUGGAGGGAUAUGAACAGGUUGGUGGGAUUGGUUUUGUGGUGGAUGAUGAGGAUGGAGAGGAUGAGGACAUUGAUGAGGAUAAUGGUAACUUGCAUGGAGAUAAGGCUGAUGAUGUUCAGAAUGAAAAACUAACUAAUGGUGAAAAUGCUAUUGAUGAGUUGGAUAAAGCCAAUUUGAACUCACAUGGAAAAGGGGCUGGUAGUAGCCACAAAAAACAUCCGAGGCUGUUUUUUUGCCAUGUUACUUGUACUGAUAGUGAACAUGAGAAUUUCCUUAUGGAGUGUGUUGUGGAGAAUGGCAAGAAUUAUAGUGUUUCAUUGCAGGAUGGGUCUAGUGAGGGGUUGUCCCCUGAUGAAUGCUGGAAAUCUUAUGACCAGGAUCAAGCUGAAGAGGCAUGUCAGGCUUUGAUGACUGAUGCAGUAAGUGAAACCCCUGUGGGGAAGAAUGUGACCUCUUUUGAGGAUAUGGGAAUUUGUACAACUAAGACAAAUGAAACUCUCCUUGCGGAUGUUUAUCCUUGUGAUGACCAUAAUGAUGAAGAUGGAAACAAGAGUGUGAGAUAUUGUGAAAAGCUACUGCUGUCUGUUGAUUGCUCUGAAUCUGAGGAUGAGAUAAGCAAAGAAGAUGAGAUGGAUGUUCUACCUACUGAAGCUGUUAAAUUGAUCAGUUCUUGUGGGCUGAAGAGAUCACUGAUUAAUUCUUUGGAAGAGGUGGUUGAUACUGGAAAAACUAAAAACACAAAGGUCAAGUGGGGCCCUGUUUUAUCUUAG